rnacentral:misc_RNA from 1 species
GAUCCUUCGACUUUGGAGGUUUCAUACUCUUUUGAGGCUUGGGUGGUGUUUCGGUGUUGACGUUUGGGGCGAGCAAGGUCUCUGGCAUAGGAGGGGAACUCACUUGCUUCUGCACAAGGGUCGGCUCAGCAGUGUCCUCGGGCAUCACAAGCCUGUCUUUGAGUGGAGUGAGGUUUUUCUUUGUUUUGAAGUCCCGAAGACUGGAAGGAACAAGGCUGAUAAAUAAACCACCGAUCGCUUCGAUAGCAAGCUUCAAUAGAUCGGCAAUAAGCCUCCCAAAUGACGGCCAUCCAGCGACCUGGUCCUCUUGUAGGCUUUCGACAAUUAGUGUGGGCUUCUCAAUUGUGGUGCCAUCUUGUUUUUCGCUCUCCAAUGUUUGCUUCUCAUUUGCACUGAAGGAGGAUCCAAAUCCAUGCUGAAGCAAACAUGAUAAGUAUCCUGCCAAUACUGCUCCAAUGACCAUUAUGAUAUCUGAUGCCGAAACUGAGCUAUUCUGAUUAUCACAAUCCUCCUGCUGAAGAGAAAUCUCACGAAGGGCGGCAUUCCCCCUAUCCACCACCAA